rnacentral:rRNA from 1 species
GGACCCGCACAAGCAGCGGAGCGUGUGGUUUAAUUCGAUGCUACACGAAGAACCUUACCAGGGUUUGACAUGCAAGUGGUAGGAAACUGAAAGGGGACCGACCCUUCGGGGAGCUUGCACAGGUGCUGCAUGGCUGUCGUCAGCUCGUGUCGUGAGAUGUUCGGUUAAGUCCGCUAACGAGCGCAACCCUCACUGUGUGUUAUACGUGUCACACGGGACUGCCGGUUUUAAGCCGGAGGAAGGUGGGGAUGACGUCAAGUCAGCAUGGCCUUUAUAUCCUGGGCUACACACACGCUACAAUGGCCGGUACAAUAGGUUGCCAAGCCGCGAGGCGGAGCCAAUCCAUAAAGCCGGCCUCAGUUCAGAUUGUAGGCUGCAACUCGCCUGCAUGAAGACGGAGUUGCUAGUAACCGCAGGUCAGCUAUACUGCGGUGAAUACGUUCCCGGGUCUU